CGCCGCCCGCGACACUGCGAGAAGUCCAUUGAACCUUAUCAUUUAGAGGAAGGAGAAGUCGUAACAAGGUUUCCGUAGGUGAACCUGCGGAAGGAUCAUUGUCGA
rnacentral:rRNA from 1 species